rnacentral:rRNA from 1 species
UACGUAGGUGACAAGCGUUGUCCGGAUUUACUGGGCGUAAAGAGCGCGCAGGCGGUCGUUCAAGUCGAGUGUGAAAGCCCCCGGCUCAACUGGGGAGGGUCACUUGAUACUGAUCGACUCGAAGGCAGGAGAGGGAAGCGGAAUUCCCGGUGUAGUGGUGAAAUGCGCAGAGAUCGGGAGGAACACCCGUAGCGAAGGCGGCGCUCUGGGCCGGUACUGACGCUGAGGAGCGAAAGCGUGGGGAGCAAACAGG